rnacentral:rRNA from 1 species
UAGGGAAUCUUCCACAAUGGGCGCAAGCCUGAUGGAGCAACACCGCGUGAGUGAAGAAGGUUUCGGCUCGUAAAAGCUCUGUUGUUAAAGAAGAACACGUAUGAGAGUAACUGUUCAUACGUUGACGGUAUUUAACCAGAAAAGUCACGGCUAACUACGUGCCAG